AGAACGAACGCUGGCGGCAUGCCUAACACAUGCAAGUCGAACGCUUUUGGGGCUUCGGUCCCAAAGGAGUGGCGCACGGGUGAGUAGCGCGUGGGAACCUGCCCUGUUGUGGGGGAUAACCGAGGGAAACUUCGGCUAAUACCGCAUACGCCCGGGGGAAACUCCGGGGAAAGAUUUAUCGCAGCAGGAGGGGCCCGCGUCGGAUUAGGUAGUUGGUGGGGUAACGGCCCACCAAGCCUGUGAUCCGUAGCUGGUCUGAGAGGAUGAUCAGCCACACUGGGACUGAGACACGGCCCAGACUCCUACGGGAGGCAGCAGUGGGGAAUAUUGGACAAUGGGCGCAAGCCUGAUCCAGCAAUGCCGCGUGAGUGAUGAAGGCCUUCGGGUUGUAAAGCUCUUUCGCACGCGACGAUGAUGACGGUAGCGUGAGAAGAAGCCCCGGCUAACUUCGCGCCACGAGCCGC
rnacentral:rRNA from 1 species